GAUGAACGCUGGCGGCGUGCCUAAUACAUGCAAGUCGAGCGAACGGACGAGAAGCUUGCUUCUCUGAUGUUAGCGGCGGACGGGUGAGUAACACGUGGAUAACCUACCUAUAAGACUGGGAUAACUUCGGGAAACCGGAGCUAAUACCGGAUAAUAUUUUGAACCGCAUGGUUCAAAAGUGAAAGACGGUCUUGCUGUCACUUAUAGAUGGAUCCGCGCUGCAUUAGCUAGUUGGUAAGGUAACGGCUUACCAAGGCAACGAUGCAUAGCCGACCUGAGAGGGUGAUCGGCCACACUGGAACUGAGACACGGUCCAGACUCCUACGGGAGGCAGCAGUAGGGAAUCUUCCGCAAUGGGCGAAAGCCUGACGGUGCAACGCCGCGUGAGUGAUGAAGGUCUUCUGAUCGUAAAACUCUGUUAUUAGGGAAGAACAUAUGUGUAAGUAACUGUGCACAUCUUGACGGUACCUAAUCAGAAAGCCACGGCUAACUCCGUG
rnacentral:rRNA from 1 species